rnacentral:misc_RNA from 1 species
UGUGUUGUGAAAGACCAACAAAUCUCUGAUGAUGGUGACAAGAAUAAAAAAAAAGUUGUCAUCAAUUCACUGGAUCAUGACUCGUUAGCAAAAAUCUUUAUGCUGUUGCCAAUACCAGAACGGAUAGAAAUGGAAAAAGUUUGUACCAAAUGGAAAGAGGCAUGUCAACUAGCUUG